AGACAAACCAGAUUGUGAUGUCUAAAUCAUUUAUCUUAGGCCAUAAUCCUGUCACUUAGGUCGAUCGGUACCUCAGUUUGAUGAUAAGAGGCUAAGCAAUUGGCCCAUUUAAUUAUUGAAUUCAGUUCCUAAACUUUGUCUAGGUCACACCCAGCAAGGGUACUCCUGGGCCAUUAGCUCAGGUGGUUAGAGCGCACCCCUGAUAAGGGUGAGGUCCCUGGUUCAAGUCCAGGAUGGCCCAUUCGGUGUUGGGGGUAUAGCUCAGUUGGUAGAGCGCCUGCUUUGCAAGCAGGAUGUCAGCGGUUCGAGUCCGCUUACCUCCACUGAUCCAUCUCCUCAUAACGAAUUUGAAGGAGCUUUUGCUCGAUGUGAUUUAGAUUUGUUCUAGUUGAAUGAACCUAGCUUCUUGUCAAUAAGACCAAUUAUGUUUUUUUGGUUAAUUGAUAGGACGCUGGGCUCACUGCAAGAAAUAUUGCAGUGUUCUUCAGUAGAACCUUGACAACUGCAUAGGUGAGUCUGGAAAAAAUAAAGCAUCUCAUGGAUGCAUUAUUUGAUUCAUAAUCAAAUUCUAAUUAAUUAGAAUUUGGGCGUGAAUUCAAUGAUAAUGUUUAAUUCUUGAGCAAGAGCCGAGACUCUAUAUUAUCUUUCAUUGAAUUAGGUUUUAAUGAAAGUCAGAUAUUUAAUUUAUCACUAUAUAUUGGUGAUUUAAUUAAAUAGAAAGUGUUUUAAUCGCUGAUUUUAUAGAGAUUAAU
rnacentral:tRNA from 1 species